GAAUCGGCGGGAGAGCUGCGAGGCGAAGAUACCUAAAUGGAUCUCAGGGAUAAAAAUUGUGGAAAAACUACAGAAGUGAAAGCUCAGCCCUUGUACCAGUCUGGCAUCAUCUUUGGAUCAUCCAUUGGUAUAACCUGGGCCCAAGACAAAGUUACCAAGAAGGAAUGUUGUUUUUUGAAGAGGACCAAUGGCAUCAUGGCACAAGGCAGAGUCACACAAAGUCAUCAAAGGACUCACUCUCUUUUCCAGAGUCAUCCAAACCUGGUGGUAAGACAGAAGUCAGGAUGGCUGACUGGGAUGCAGUGGAUGACCUUGGCAUCUUCAGCAUUUGACCCAGCUUAGAAG
rnacentral:lncRNA from 1 species